rnacentral:misc_RNA from 1 species
CGAGUAUGAGAAGAAGUUGGGAAAGAAAGGAUGAAAGGCAAGCAGGCCCAUCAUCCUUCAUCAUUUUUGGUAUUCAGAAAUUCUCGAAAAACUUGUGCAUGAUAGUUAAAUUAGUGGAACAAACCAAGUUUUCAACUGAUAAAUGUACAAAAGGAACUUCCAAGUUUUCCACCUACAAAAGAGAUUUCUAUGGGUCUGCUAUGUGCUGCAUUUACCAUCGUACAGAAAUUACUGCAAUAUAUUACAAAGCCGCCUUUUAGUUUGUCCUUCAUCCAUUUCACAGAGAGAGAAGCAGUAUCUGAAUGCAAUUCCCUCAUUCUCAUACCAUGAAGGUAGUUCCAUGAUCUUCCAUGGACUUUUUUUUUUCUUCUAGAUAUAUAUUUGUAUGAUUCACCUAGAGUUCAGAUCGAAUUCGCCAACUUCUCGCCAUUCGCCCUGCGCACCAGUGUCUCCAUUUUCAGUUUCCUCAUCAUUCAAGAAAUCUUCAGAUGGCUCCUUUUCAUCUCUCUGUGCAUUGUUUCCCCAGCCAUUCAUCAUCUGAUCAGUGUUUGCACCGUGUUCCUGCUCUCCCAUGUCAUGACCAAUUGAAACACUGUUGCCUCGUGAUCCAAGGGCACUUGCCCUUAUUGGGGCUCGAGCCAUCAUUUCAGCAUGGGCAUGUGAUUCUGCACGAGCUUGCUCUGCCUGAACCAUGGCAGCCAUUCUCAACUGAGCCUCACGACCAGCUUUCUCCCUGGCAUCCAUUUCUGUUUUCAGCUCCAACAGAAGCCGCUUCUCCUCCUGGAGGAGAAUCUGCUCAAUCAUAAGUCUCUCCUCAGAGCGGAAUUCACCCAAAGCCCGCUUGCGGGUUAUUAUGUUGAAAGCUAGGGCUUGUUUCUCAAAUGUGCCUGUGAAUUCCGCAACUUUGGCUGCAAUAUUGAAAUCCCAUUGCUGAGAACGAGAUGGCAUCUGACCUGUUGUGUCAGAAUCAAGGAUUCUAUCAUCCUCCUCUGCUUCAUAGUCCGCUACUACAUGAUAAGGAAGUAAUCUUUCACAGGCAUCCUCAAGAGAAGAAAAUGGCCUCUUGACAUCCGGGUGGCAGACCCGCCAAGCGUCCUGGUAAGCCAUCUGGAGCUCCACCUGGUUGAGUGGGGGCCGGAUCCCCUUCUGCUGCUGCUGCUGCUGAGAAUGUUGAGCUUGCUGCGCAUUUUGGGGCAAAUUGGAUCCUUGCUGCUGCAAAUUGGGGUUAGAAUUAGGGUUAGGGUUUUGCUGCUGGAUAUUGAGAGGGCGAUGGAGGCCAGGGGGACGGAGGUGGGCGUCGAUGUUGGAAGGAAAUCGUGAAAUGGCCGCCGCUUGUUGUUGGUGGUGGUGCUGCUGUUGUUGCGCUUGCUUCUGUAAUUGUUGUAAUAAGAGAAAUUGUUGCUGUUGCUGUUGCUGUUGUUGUUGUUGCGCUUGUUGCUGCUGUAAGAGCAAUUGCUGUUGAUCCAUUUCUCCCCCUCUAUCCGUCUCUCUGGCUUUCUCCUUGUGGAACCUUGCUUAAGCCUAUUCAAUGUAUGACCCUGUGCCUUGGGAGAGAAGUGAA